GAAUGCUGACAUAAGUAACGAUAAAGCGGGUGAAAAGCCCGCUCGCCGGAAGACCAAGGGUUCCUGUCCAACGUUAAUCGGGGCAGGGUGAGUCGACCCCUAAGGCGAGGCCGAAAGGCGUAGUCGAUGGGAAACGGGUUAAUAUUCCCGUACUUGGUGUUACUGCGAAGGGGGGACGGAGAAGGCUAUGUUGGCCGGGCGACGGUUGUCCCGGUUUAAGCGUGUAGGUGUGUGUUCCAGGUAAAUCCGGUUCACUUUAACACUGAGGCGUGAUGACGAGGCACUACGGUGCUGAAGCAACAAAUGCCCUGCUUCCAGGAAAAGCCUCUAAGCAUCAGGUAACAUCAAAUCGUACCCCAAACCGACACAGGUGGUCAGGUAGAGAAUACCAAGGCGCUUGAGAGAACUCGGGUGAAGGAACUAGGCAAAAUGGUGCCGUAACUUCGGGAGAAGGCACGCUGACACGUAGGUGAAGUGAUUUACUCA
rnacentral:rRNA from 9 species